rnacentral:rRNA from 1 species
CCUACGGGCGGCUGCAGUGGGGAAUAUUGGACAAUGGGCGCAAGCCUGAUCCAGCCACGCCGCGUGAGUGAUGAAGGCCUUCGGGUCGUAAAGCUCUGUGGGGAGGGACGAACCGCCACUCGUGCAUAGCGGGUGGCAUGACGGUACCUCCUUAGCAAGCACCGGCUAACUUCGUGCCAGCAGCCGCGGUAAUACGAAGGGUGCAAACGUUGCUCGGAAUCAUUGGGCGUAAAGCGCACGUAGGCGGCUCACCAAGUCGGACGUGAAAUCCCUCAGCUCAACUGAGGACGUGCAUCCGAAACUGGCGAGCUUGAGUAUGGAAGAGGGUCGCGGAAUUCCCGGUGUAGAGGUGAAAUUCGUAGAUAUCGGGAGGAACACCAGUGGCGAAGGCGGCGACCUGGGCCAAUACUGACGCUGAGGUGCGAAAGCGUGGGGAGCAAACAGGAUUAGAUACCCGUGUAGUC